CAGUAGCCGCGGUAAUACGAAGGGGGCAAGCGUUGUUCGGAUUUACUGGGCGUAAAGCGUACGUAGGCGGAUAUUUAAGUCAGGGGUGAAAUCCCGAGGCUCAACCUCGGAACUGCCUUUGAUACUGGAUAUCUUGAGUCCGAGAGAGGUGAGUGGAACUCCUAGUGUAGAGGUGAAAUUCGUAGAUAUUAGGAAGAACACCAGUGGCGAAGGCGGCUCACUGGCUCGGAACUGACGCUGAGGUACGAAAGCGUGGGGAGCAAACAGGAUUAGAUACCCGAGUAGUCCCUGUCUCUUAUAC
rnacentral:rRNA from 1 species